AUUGAACGCUGGCGGCAUGCUUUACACAUGCAAGUCGAACGGCAGCGCGGGCUUCGGCCUGGCGGCGAGUGGCGAACGGGAGAGUAAUACAUCGGAACGUGCCCAGUAGUGGGGGAUAGCUCGGCGAAAGCCGGAUUAAUACCGCAUACGACCUGAGGGUGAAAGCGGGGGAUCUUCGGACCUCGCGGUAUUGGAGCGGCCGAUGGCAGAUUAGCUAGUUGGUGGGGUAAAGGCCUACCAAGGCGACGAUCUGUAGCUGGUCUGAGAGGACGACCAGCCACACUGGGACUGAGACACGGCCCAGACUCCUACGGGAGGCAGCAGUGGGGAAUUUUGGACAAUGGGCGAAAGCCUGAUCCAGCAAUGCCGCGUGUGUGAUGAAGGCCUUCGGGUUGUAAAGCACUUUUGGCGGGAACGAAAAGGACUGUGCCAAUACCACGGUUCGAUGACGGUACCCGCAGAAUAAGCACCGGCUAACUACGUG
rnacentral:rRNA from 1 species